CCUGCUCGUGCCCGUCGCCAUCUUCGCCGUCCUGGUCCUGCUCGUGCUCGUCCCCUCCGACGCCAGGGGCGCCGCCAGCACCGCUACGCCCUACUCCUCCUCCUAUAGUUAGCUACCUUAUUAGAUUGGGCGCCCGGCCUUGUCGUCAUGUAAAUGUAAUUAAACGCGGACUCGGUGUGCUCGUCUUGUUCUUCAGAGAUCAAUCCAUGGAGAGGCUUUUGUUUUGCUCGAUUCGAUCAGUCCCGAUUUCGUCGAUGGUUCUUCCCUCUCUGCAUUUGCUUCUGCAAGUACGACGGUGACAAACUGACAACCGUCGAAUUGACUUCAUUCUUGCAAAGUUGCAAUCCAGAAUUCGACCCGGACAUCGAUUCAGAUUUGGAUCCUGAACUCGUAGAGAUCUCUGAUGAUUCCGCCUCCGAGUCCGAGAGCUCUGCAUCAUUGAACUUAGAUGCAGAGCACAGCGACGAUCGAGUGGCAGCUCACGUGCCAGCAGCCAGAUGGGCCAGGGUGAUGUGGGGGCAGAUUCAGUUUCAACUUUCAACUUCCAAGGGAGUCAGAAACUCGUACCAGCGAUAGUCGUCGUGUUCCUCGCGCAGCUUCUAUCCGCGAAACGAGCAGGAUCAUGCAGUUGUUAGGAUUUCCGGGAGUCGUCACUAGCAAGAUCUCAACGAACCUGGACACGAGCUUUCUCCACACGCUACUCUGCACAGAUUUUUUUUUCCCCUUGAAGUGUUGCUGCAGCUAGAAGAAAAGUAAAGUAGUAGCUCGAAAGAUGAUGCGCAUCGAUAGAUUGCGUCACGAGAAUGUUGGAAAAAAUGGGGGCUUGUUCGUCCAUCCAACUAUAUCCAAGAAUCUAGGUGCCUUCCAAAAAGAGAAAUAUUACGGGCCUAGUUAAUGGGUAUCCGGCUCAACACUAGCUACUGUUUCAUACAGGCACGGUUAUGGAUGGGAUGCAUUCCGAGUUUUUCUGUACUAGGCCGCAGAAUACAAAGCCCACACGGCCCUGAGCUUUAAACCAAGCCCACCGCCGACCACCACCCGGCCCACAUGGGUAUUGUCAUUUAUGUAUGGCGGUUGUAGUAGUAGCCCAACUUGCGGCGUAUGCGUGCAAUAAAGCAGGCCGCCCAGCGUGCACGCGAUUGAGCGAAUGGCCCAGCGGGUAGGCCCGAUGCGUGGAAGUAAAAGCGCGCGGCGGUUGGUGGUGGACUGGACGGUGCUCCCAAACCAGACGGAGGAGCCAAUCAUAACUCCCCUGACCAACACUACCCCGUUAUGAUUAUUCGUGUGGACGGCGCCAGGCUCAUGUGCUCGGUUUAGUGCACACUUGGAAAUGUAAUGCAAUUGGCAAGCUCAAGUAUUCGCUGCAUAUAUGUAUGAGACACGUACUGCCGUUUUGUUUUGUUUUUUGUUUUUUUUAAAAAAUGUUGCCACAUUUCUACAAAUAGCUACGACAAGCAUUGGGCCUAUUCAGCUAGACUUAUAAGUCGGCUGAAAAGCUGAAACAACUGAUUUGUUGUGAGAGAAAAACAUCGUUCGGUGGCUAAUAAGCCGGCUGAUAAGCUGAGAAAAACAUUGUUAGCUGCAGUACUCCAAUAGUUCAAUACAAACGUCGAGAGAGGGCAGCUACGGAUCGAGAUACCCUAUGCUUACUACCUCUCUUCUCUCUAUUUAUAUCUAUAUAUCAUUAUCUUUCCAUGCAAUGGUGUUUAUUAUUAUUUGACAUGUUAAUCCAUGUCUUAAGAGCUCUGGUAGGUCUCUGUUUUUUUUAAGACGAGAUGGAAAUGAACAAAUCCCAGCUGCUGUGAAGAUCUCUCCAGUUUAUGCUUAGCUUUCAUAGUUUUCAUAGUAGAAGACCAUGAUCUUUUUCUACCACAAUGUCGAUUUGAAAAAUACUAAACCUAGAUGUGCACUAAUAAGCAGUCCGUAUAUGGUUGUACCUCAAAAUCAAGUUUAUUUUCUGGAGAAAAGAGGCAUUUGUUAUUGUGGUUACUAUUUAUUUAUAUUCAUAGUCCUUCCCUCUAUCAAAAUGAUGUUUCAAAGUUUGGCUAACUAUCUACCUUAUGAAUAAUUAUGAUCGUUGACAGAUCGAUCAUCAUAUGAAGAAUGGCACGUGCGCUGUCAUGUACUCCCUCCGUCCCAAAUUAUAGGUCGUUUUGACUUUAUUAGAUUCAUAGACUUUGUUAUACACUUAGAUAUACCCUAUGUCUAGAUGCAUAAUAAUAUCUAUGUAUCUAGAAAAGUCAAAACGACCUAUAAUUUGGAACGGAGGGAGUACGGUUCUUCUUGUUGUAGUUAAUACUAUAAUGCUUUGGUUCCAAGCAUUGAGUAAAUCCACAUUAUUCCACAACAUUUAUUAAGAACUAUGUUUAUAAACUAAUAACUAGACUUUUCUGAUUUCAGAACUCUGUUUAUGAACCUAUAUACACAUAAGUAUAUAUCAUAAUGCAUAAGGGCUUUCACUUUAAGAUCCUACAGUGCACAUUUAUAAACCCCAAUACAUACGUCUUCAUCAUUUCAUGUAACCAUAAAAGCCGUAAAUGAAUGCUGGAAACAAUAAAUAAAGUGAAAAUGAUUGGAACAUAUAUAUACAUAUAUACGCCUAGCUAAAGACCAGAUGACCAAAUAAUAUUUAUUCCAUUUCUAGUCGAUUCAUAUGCUACAAAGGUCUGAAUUUUCAAAUAGAAAUUGACAUAUCAUUACACCCUCUAUUCAUGUGAUGAACUGAAUAAUAGAGGAACAUUGCAUGGGACUAGAACUGCCUCAUCCUACUCCAUUACACCUUAACCCAUGUCCCAGCCCAAAUAAUUAAGUCUCUACACAUGCAUAUACAUCCGUAUUCAUAUAUAGAAUACGUGCUACUAAGCACGCAUACAGGCAUGAGAAUGCUAGCUUAAUUCUUGCCCUAGAUCAUGCCUGCAUCAUAUGUGUGCGUGCAUGCCCUCGGAAAGUCACUUGAAGUUUGUGCAAACCUUGGGUGAUUCUAGGAGAGGGUUCCAGUCCCAAAUCUUUUCCAUGCUAGGAAAAGGAAGCAAUGGACCUUGUGAUGAUGGCAAGGGCUGGUUAGGGUUUCCCUGGUUACUGUAUGACCCAAUUGCCCUACUCAGCUCAUCUAUGGGAAUGGUUGCCAUUGUAGUGGAGUUUGCAUUAAGCAGGGCGUGUGUGGAAGAAGGCAGCAGCUGUGGGUUGGCGCCCUUCAUGUGGUAGAGUGAUGUACCGUCCUCCUCCGUCGACGUGGUGGAGCUAAGCGAGGCGGUUGACAGGAACGCCAUUGAUGUCUGAGGCGCCAUUGUUGCUGCUGCUCGAGCUGCAGCUGAUGAUGCCAUGAUUGUGCCACUGUAUGGCUUGUUCAUGUGAGCUGAUGAUGAGUGGCCACCGUCGAACAUUGGUGCCAAGCGUGGCGAUGCUGACGUCCGGUGGUGCUUCUUUUCCAUCGAUGCUGCCGCCUUUGAGCCUGAUGAUCUUGUGUUGGUGGUGAGGUGAAAGUUGUCUUCAAUCCCAGGACGUUUAUACACUCGGCAAAGGGAAAUCUCCUGCAUAUAUAAUAUGAAGAUGAAUUGAUCAAGAUUAAUCCAAAAUGAAAUUGGUGUUUGUAAACGCAGACAAGAACAAUUAACGCAUGCAGGAGAGACUACAAGUGUUCUUAUCCAUCCAGUGAUUUGAUCAAACAUAGUACAUACACCUGGUUAUUGAAACAAAGGAAGUUUGCAGCCAGGAAAAAAAGAAGAAGAGAGAUCACAAGUUAUAACAAAACUUUGUUGCGUUAUUGGAAAAAAAAAUUCCAAGGGAAGCAUGUUAUCUUUCAUGUUGCUCUAAAUAAAUAAAGAUAUAUAACGAGUUCAAAGUAUAAUUAAAUUUCCUUUUCAGCUGUGGAUCAUAUAUAUGUUUCAUUGCUUCUAGAGUUCCUACUACUAUUGUUUUAUAAUAACCAUGGAGUACAUGUGUUUUCCCCUUUCGAGUAGUUAGUCAUGCCAGGUUUCCACAUCUUAAAAAGUAAGUUGUAAACUUUUUGGAUAUGAAGGAUGUUGAUGAUGAAUACUUCCAAAAAGGAGGAACAAGCCUUUCCAAAGGAAAAGUGAAGAAAAAGAGUCACCGAUCUGUGAAAAAAUUGGGGAGAACCUUUUUUUUCAAGCUUCCUCCAAGUACUGAAGAAAAAAUUGAGAUGCACCAGCUGCAUGUGAUGCAAAUAGCCUAAUUAACUGUGGAAAAAAAUUGGGAAGGGCAUGCAUACGUAGAUAUCUAAUUCUAAUUAGCUAGGUUGAACCACAACCAUAUGGGGAUCUUAGCUAGAUCUUGCUCAUGCAAUAAUUCUAGGGAGCACCUUUAACACUUUUGCGCAACAGUUUGCCUAUACACAUGAUGCCAGCCGGCGAUCACACGAACAGAAGCUAGCUAGCAAUCAUAUCAACCCAACUUCCAAAAAGUGAGGGGAAUUUUAAGUGGAAGCAUCUUUCAUAGAACACUUUAUGCUUUUCAGGGAUCUCAAAGAAAAUUCAAAAACCAAUCCAAUUAAGGAAAACAAAAAUAUCCAAUGAUAGAUGAACAAAAUUUCUCAACGGAAAAAAGAAACAUCUCUUCACAUAUUAGUAGAUGGAAAUUGCCCAACCUUUUGGUACCGGUCUGCCUCGCCAUGAGGAAGGCGGUACUCGUUCAUGAUCCAGCUGCUCCUGAGGCCCUUGGGCGCCUUCCCCACGUAGAACACCAGAGUCUUCUUCAGCCCGAUGGAGCGGUUACCCUCGACGCGCACCAUCCGAUCUGCCCCUGUGGCCUUCCAGUAGCCCGACGGAGUGACCCGGUUCGGGCGGUCGCCGUUGCGGUACUUGCGGUCUCUCGGCACGUAGAAGAACCACUCCUUGUCCCCAAUUGAAGCCAGAGCUGUUGGUUGUUUAAGUAGCGCAUCCAUGAUGCAUAUAUUAGUCACCAAAGAAAAGCAAGCAUCGCAUGCAAGAAAAAAAAUUUAAAGUAAGCGAAAAAGCUAAAGGCUCACAUGAAAUCAAAACGAGUAAAGGGGGUCACAUGCAUGAAAUCAUGGCAGAUCCCCAUGUUUACUUAUUGGUGCUAGCUUAGCAGGAGCUAGCUGGUAGCCGUCGUUCACAUGCGUUGCUUACCGGGGAGAUCCCACGGGUCGUAGCGGUAGAGGUCGACGAGGUUGAUGAGCUCGAUGUUGAAGCGCUUGCCCUCCACCCUCCGGCGGAGGUAGAAGUCGAUGAGCUCCUCCUCCGUCGGGUGGAAGCGGAAGCCCGGCAUCACCAUGUCGUGCGCUUGCUGCUGUCCAUCGUCGCCGCCGCCUGCGCCGCCGUGGUGUUGGUGGUGGUGGUGAUCUCCUCCCAUGGUCGACGGCGGCCUCGAGUCAUUACCUCCCCUCCCGGCAGCCAGCCUUGCUUUAUAGUAGAAGCAGGAGAAAGAUGAGGAGGAGGAGGAGGAGGAGGAGGAGGACUAGUACAAGACGACGGCCAGCCCUAACUACACCCACACGCCACACAGAGAGGCAGAUGGAGACCCAACUAGACAAGGGGACGGGGCGGCCGGCCUAUACCGCUGCGGGGAGUGGUGUGGUCUCCUUCGGCCCUUGGACGAAUGAGGGUGAUUGGUGCAAGUGGUGGUACCAUUGGUGUGGUGAAGUGAAGGGCCGGCUAGGGGGAGGGAGAGAGAUAAGAAAAGAUUAGAUGUCCACCUAAUUAAAAUUUAUUAAUUUAAACAGCACCAAUUAAGAUGAGGAUCUGUCGAUAUGUGCCGGUAUUAAUGGCUGUUACUUUUAGCUUAGCUAGGUACAUACCACGCCCAAGAGUAUGAGAGAGAGAGAGAGAUCACUGUGCCGUCUUGUAAAGUAGCCCUGGUAAAAAAGAGAGAACGAUGUCGUUAGACUGCUAGGAGGUUCUUACACUGUAGUAGCAGUAGCUGCAUGCUAGCUACAGUAGGAACUGGAAGAGGGGACCUCUCCAACGAAACCUCAGCGGUGGCCUAUAAAUUUGAGCAGUGCUGUGGUGCAGCUGAUCAGCCUUCCUAUAUAAUGGCAUGUCCGGUUCAGCUAUAAAAAUGUUUCUACUGUUUGAGCGUGUAGCUAGAAGGAAGCCAGCUAGCUCAAUCGACUGCACAUCGGCGGAGUGGGACAGUGGCUGUGUUGCAUGUGUGAGAUAGAUUCUCGUAGCAAUUUUCCUGCUCAUGAGUAGCAUCAUACAGAAGCACCAAAUUCACAUAUUUAUCUUGAAAAAUCUCUCAUAAAGGAAACAUAUUUUCAGUCCCAAAAAGAUCAUCUUCUUCACUGUUCAUCUUUAAAAGGCCCUCCAUAUGCAUUUCACAAGUUAUUACAGGUGAAAAUUCAAACCGUUUCACUCAAAUGUUGUGUCUUUGUAUCUUGUGGUACCGAAAAAAAUUCAAUAAAUGUCAAAGAAAUCUGACAAAUAUAUACAAAUACGAUAGGUGCAGCAAAAUUAAAUAACUAAUCGAGAGUAAAUAGCAAAGUUUUGUAUAUUAAAAAAAUUCUAUGCCAAUAAAGAGGUGCACUCGACCGGUGCAAGUUGUCCUCUUGUAUAUUCACGCGUGCAUGUAAGCUAUAUUGGAAUUUGGUCUGCAGGUAAGUACGUGUCUUGGCCUCGUGCUAGCUCCUCCUUUUAUGCUUCAGCCGGCCGGCCGGCGUCCGACGACUCAAAUCAUCUCAUGCUGGCCCAAUUAAUCCUUCAGCUGUUCCUGUCUACCUCAAUAGAUUUACACUUCUUGAAAAAACUAAACCUAGAUGUGCACUAAUAAGCAGUCCUUCUGAUUUGAUUGAUCGCCCCCAGCUAUGAUCUUCUCCAUGAAUUAUGUAUGGGUGCGUACGUGAUAUAUACGAGAGAUUUUACGGUGCUUAGAAAUCUUAAGAGCUGUCUAUCUCCAGAUCGGAUGGUUAAAAAGUAGAAGGAACCUAUUACCUAGCAUUGGUGGGUCAGGAACUAUUUGUAAAAAAUAGAGCAAAGGGUACAUCUGUAUUUUCAUGACUCCCAGCGCCGUCGCAUCACCCCCGGCGGACACGCUUACGCGUUCACGCUGCCCAGCCGACGCAUCCCACCGGCCCACUCCGCAUGCGAUUCGCUCCUCCUCCUCCUCCUCCUCCAACCCUAGGAUCUUGCGGAGCGUGAGCAGGUCUCGGAUGCAGCGCGCGAACGACGUCGAGGCGGAGCCGCCGCCGUCGGAGGAGGCCUCGGCGGCGGCGUCGAGGCCGGCGUUGCCAAGGACAGCGUACAUGGUGCCUCGAGAGUCGGCGAGGAGGCUGCAGUCAUUAUAAUUCUAAUUCUACCAAAUAACCAGACAUUGACUUGUAUAAUCAGCAGUCUCUUAGAUCGAUUAAAAAAAAAGCAGUCUCUUAGAUACUCUACAAGGGAUGUAUAAGUGAAAAUGGUUUAAUUUAACUGGAUAUGCGUACAAUCAUUCCGAACAAUUUUUAAUAAUGAGUGGCCAACAGUUUUGAUGCUUCCCACUAUUUUUCCUUGAAUGACCGACAGUUUUUCUAGUGUAAUUUGCUUCUUUCCUAACAGUUUUAUCAAAUCACCCACAAUGUAAUCCCCCACAAACUCAUUUUUCACGGUUAUGGUAUCUAGUUAUUCAAAUGUACUAAAAACCGUUGGCCAUUUGUAAAGACACUGUUGGAAAAAGUAGUAUUCUUGUAGUGCUCGCAAGAGUUUUUAUUUUUGUAGGAGGGCAAUUAAGAGUUGUAAGGGAUGUAAUCCCCAUCUAUCCCCUCUAAUCCUCUCCGAUUUCCACCAAACUAACAAAUGUCCUUGAAGGGAAGAAAUUCUUCGCUCUGGGAAGAAAUUCUUUUUGCAAGCAAACAUGAGAGUAUUGUUCCAAUAACAAUAUUAAGCACAUACAGAAAAUAAUCUUUACUCCUGGAACAGCAUCAAGACCCGCACCAUUUCAAAUACUAGGUGAAAUUAAUUGAGGAGCUAGCAUUUGACCAUAUUUUUGAAAAUUUCAACACUUCACAUUUUUGCCCGAUAUGUACACCCUUAUAUAUCUACACACACACACAUGCAGUAGUUAGGGUUUGGGUAUGCAUAAUUUUGCCUGUUUAUGGACACAAGUCGGCAUUUAUACCUAGGAUGUCCUUGUGGGGAAGUCUUGCCAUGCAUGCCGGUAAUUUAAGGCAUGUGCCGCUGUUUGCUCCAGCUAGUGCACCGUAGCACAAUUAACAAGAGUACAACACCUGUCAGUGUGUAGUAGCAGUGUCCUUGCGAGGGUUUUGGGGGAGGUUAGAACAUCUCCAUAAUCUCUGUUGUACGAGCAUGCAUCACUGUGAUCAGUCAAGGGAUACCCGUGACUUGUACUCAUGCGCAUCUGUUUGUCGGUCUGUGCGGCUGCAUCCGUUGUGCAUCGGCAAGGGAAGAAUUUCAGUAGCAUAUGUGCAACUGUGUGCAAAAAAAUGCUGUCUAGCUAGAGAGAUGAAUAUCAACUUACUAUAUCAUGAGUCGGACGUAUACUUUUCGAAUAGAUAGAGAUUGCAAAAGCCUAUUGCUACACAAAGUUUGGUACAACCCCACCCCAGGGGCUUUUUGAUAAUGCUCAUCAGCCAUGAGCUGAUACAGUGCGUCCAUCCAUAUCGAUUUUCCAUUCGCGCACUCUCACAAUGCAAAUGCGAUCUUACAAUUCGAUCGAUAUAAAGUUCCUUAGGUAGCUAAAGGAUCAUCCCUUGAUGUCGGAAUAAGGAAUUGUCGUUAUUCAUGCAAUCCUGGAUGGGUAGUUUUCAAAGCACAUGCAUCUUAACAUGAUCAUGAGAUCGAUGAAUAGUUCCGUCGUCACUAGUUGGAUCUUUUUUUUCAACCCCCUCACUUUUUUCUCAAUUGUCGUAUCAAUAUAUAAUUCCCCACACUAAGAGGUGUAAAGGAGUAGUAAAAAUAAUGGAAGGUAAACGGAGUGCGCCUAGAUUAGGAAUGUAUGUUGACAUCCUAUAUAUGUUGACUAUUGCAGUCCAAUCAGAUGUCUAGAAACGUAUGUAAAUGACAACUGGACAAGAAAAAGGAAGAAGAACAGGAAGCCCCUCAUUCUAAUUAAAUAGAUGCAUGAAUGAUCAUCUCUUGAACUAUAUAUUCAUGUACAAUUCUACGGUCUUCCAAUUAUUGAUAGGGACUACAUUCUUGUUUAGUUUUACGCCAAACAUGGGUCUAAAUGAAAGACAGUUCUUCUAUAAACUUUUGGAGGAUUCCCUACCUUACAUCAGGCUUCCUGAAAGAACCAAUAAUCAUGAACAUCUUUUCAUUAUAAGAGCUUCCCUUUAACCUACCAGCUAUAGGCUCUUUAUUUGUCUCUCUUUGUCAAGCUAACAUUUUCUUUUGACUUAUUAAUACCUUGUGCUAGCACAUAGAUUAUGUCAUCUAAGAUUAAUAAAACCAUGAGACAAAAAUGUUUCCUUCCCAACAGUCAGACCGUUUCCAAAAUAUGUUGGCAUCAAAGCUAAAGUCAAGUAAUGUAGUAUAAUAUGUUCGAUCUCAACAACGAUACUAUCAUAGGGUAUAUAUGUAGCUGUGGUAUCUUUCAUACUACUUAUGUAUUCACCUUAAAGUUGUUCUUUGUUACAGCUAUAUGAAGGCUAGAUGCAUGCAUUCUUUUUUUUAAGUAAUAGGUCUUCAUAACUGUACUUUCUUAAAACAGGGGGAAUAUAUAUAGCUGAUUUGCAAGCAUAUAAAGUUGCAAAAUUAAAAAAAAAUCAGUUCACCACAGGAAAAUAGCACAUAACCCGCAUUGUUGAUCGAGCAAGUUGCAUACGAAUCACAAGCUAGAUCGAAAGCAUUAAUGGAUGAUAAAUUCUUGUUCCUUCUUCCACAUGAUGCACCUUUCAAAUUGAAUUCGUCAAGCGGACUCCAUACGGCAAGAACAGUCGCCACUCGGUUAUGAUAUGCUAGGAAACACGUAUGCGAAAAAAAUAAAUGGGUGGCGUAGAUUUACUAGAUCUCUAUAGAUUGUUUAGCAAAUAUCUAGAAAAAAAUUUGAUCCUUGGAAAUUUAAUUGAUUUGUUUGACAAACCAUAAAUGUGUAUGAAAAGUUCAAUGAAUGUGCCAAUACUUUGACUGAUUGAAUAAGAUGGCAUAGUUAUCUUCAUUUACCUGAGAUUGAUCGACAUUAGUUACCUAGCAAUUGCACCGUAAAAUCGAUCUGUGGAUAACUGUUAGCCUUACUUGGUUAUCUUCUCUCUCUUUUUUUUACAAAAUUGUGGGGAUCAAUUCAAGAAAAUAACCAGAAAUGAUAUGAUCAUGACAAAAAUAUAUAGGAGGUAGCAUGUAUGGACCAGAUUUAGCAAUUCUUUAUCUGCAGAUAAUUUUAUAUGUACUUGUCAUCAGAAAUAUGUUGUCAUCUUUGAUGUUUCGUAAUUCAUAAUUGUAUGUGUGUAAAAAGAAGCAAUUAGCUAAGAAAAGUGUACUACUCCUACAACACUUGAUAAUUGCAGCUUAAUUGUACGCAAGGAAAGUGUGCAGUCAUGCAUGAGCAGUUUCUCCAUUUGAUGUGUACAAGUAUCAAACUACGUUCGCGCCUAACUUUGUUUUCUGCACAUCUUCCAGCUUCCACCACUGCACCGCACCAUGAUUCCAGCUCUUACUAGCUUGGAAAAGCAUCAUCUGCAAUACCUGCAGAAAAUUAAAGAGACGUGGCAUUGUGUUGCGUUCUUCUUUUUACAUGCCAGAUUGCAGCAUGAAAUGAAGAAGCCAUGCACCAGAGGUCGCCGACGAUGGAAUACACAGGAGCAGCGGCUGGCCGGCCGAUCAGUCGGUGGGGGCAAUUUAGUGAGUUCGGUGACCGGGUCCCACAUGCAAAGCAAGCAUAGGAGGGAGACGCCUGCUUGCUUUUAAUGCGGCACCGCAUGGCGCAUGGAAGAACCAAGCAGGGAUGCCCUAGCGAUCAGGAAGGCUGUUCCUAUUGGUCCCCCAUUGAUGGAUCGUCCCCAGUCUCAUCGCGCAUCCAUCUCUCACUGUCACCUCUUCUUCUUCCUUUUUUUCUCAGUUCUUCUCCCAUCCGCUGGAGGUUGAUCCAGUCUAAGCGUGGUCUUAGCAGCUUGUUAGGACCUGGCCAGCCAAUUGACCUUGUACUGUAUUACCUUGUGAAUAAAUUUCACCUUUUGUAAGUUCCAGAUGUUACGAGUCGUAGGAGCCAAAUAAAAGAGAGCAACCGUACCGUAGUCAACAGAGAGAUUUGAAGAAAACAGCUAGCCUCCACCCGUACCCAGCAGUAGUAGAAGCUAGCUAGCAAUGAGCUAGAAUAUGAGAACGAUCCACUAGAGAACAGGUACAGUGCUGCUUCAGUUGUGCAUGGCACAUGGUUAGUUUAGCGUGCAUGUAAAGAUCAAAUGAAAUGGUGCACUGAAUUUGUGCGUCCCAUGCAUGAGGAAGAGACUCUGACAUAUAUUCCGUAGCUUCGUAUAGAAGAAAAUCGAGGAAGAGCACUCUCAUUUGGUGGUACAGUUGCUCAGUAGAUGGAAGAGACGGCAACAUAUUUAAAAAAAAGCAUCUUGAUGCUAAAUAACUGUGGUAACUCCUAGUCCAAAUUAUGGCACAAUCGAUUUAGAGUAAAACACGACAUAUAAGAAUGGACAUAUAUCAAUUCUAGUAAGCCAACUACAUUAUUGUCUGAAACUAUUAAGUACUAUAACCAUUCUAGUGCGUUGGAUGGGCUGGCCACAGAAUAAGCUAUUCUAUGGCCGACCAUAGAGUAUACUCCACACACACACAUAUUCAGGAGGAGACUUGGAUUAUAUUCAGGGUUCUGUUAGGCUGUUGGGAUAACCACACUACGACAGCUUGUCACUGAUAGUGGAAGGACAUUAAUUUCAACAAGCACCAAAAUCAGCCUAAGAUUGUCGCAACAUAAUCAAAGAAGGAAACAUAUGCAUCAUAGAGAUAAUCACAACAACAACACAUGCAUUGACCAUAAGACACCAAUUUCAACGUAGAAACCCCAAAAUCGCGGUAAAACCCACAGGACCAAGCAGCCACCCAAAUAUCCAGAUAGCACUACAAGGUCAUAUACAUCAAUACUUUACCAUCUUAGACAACAACAUAAAUAUUUGGGGGCAAACAAUCGAUUAAAGGCAACAGUAUUGCGGAUCUGAAGCCUCACGCGACCCUGAGAACGGAUCUUUCUAACUUUCUUCCAAGAUCUUAUCCCCAAUCACCUUCUUCUCCCUAUCUUCUCCCUCCUUCUCUCCAUUUCAAGGGGAUUUUUCCUUCUCUUGAACCCAAUUACAACGUAUGUCAAAGUUGUUGUGGGGAUGCUCAUUAGAAACUCAAUACGUAAGAUUUCUUAAUAUGGGCUGCAACUCACUUGCAAAUCUGGGGGGCAGGGGGGCUAGAGGGAGGCUGGGGUGGUGCUCGGUGAGUGGGUGUGGCGUGGGGCCAAAAAAAAGAGGUAAAGAAAAAAUACUAUCUGAUGGAUUCGAUGGUUGGGGAUCAUAUUGACUGUAUCCGAUUAUUUUUCUCAACCAAGGAAGAUAUGUGCUUCACUAAAAAGUUAACACAUUGUGAGUUGGACUAUUGGAGUAGGUUUUUCGAUGAGGCUGUGUAGAGCCCACUCGAGUAGUAUUUUUUGCCUAAUUCACACUCGAAUUUAUAGCCAUCCAUACAUUCGAUCCAAUGGUGCAGAUUUAUCCCCUUCCUCAACACUAUCCUCUCCAAGGCACACGUGUGUAGCUCGCCUACCGCCACCGAGCAACUUCCCUACACCUUCCUCGACACCGGAGACGACUCUGGUGGUGAGCCCCAGCCCCCCUCCAUUGAUCGUGGUAUCACAUUUUCCGGCUUUAGUAAGCUUCUAAGUUCGUUCCCCAUUGAAAACCCUAACCUCUGAGCUCACCAAACCUCUUUAGAGAUAAAUAAGAUGAGUUGAGUAGCAUGAAGAGAAAAUUCGGAUGUCAGGGACACCAAAAUGCUCGGCCGGGUAUGAGAUUUAGCUUUUCACCUUUUCGUUCGAUCCUCCGGUCACCACCGACGACCUUGAUCACGAACGAACUGGCCGCGGUCGCGACGCGCUUGACGGGCCGACCGGCCGGUCAAGCUGGUGAUCGCUGGAGAGUCCAUCAAGUGUGGCGGUCCAGUUGGUGCACGCGCCGCCGCUGCCACGCGUGCCUAGCUAGCUCGCCUCGUUUACUAGCUCCGUCAUUUUCUUUUUUACUCUGCAUGCGCGGCCUGCAGCAGCUGCCGCCGUCCGCUUAGAGCAGGCCCACAUACGCCAAGCACGUCAGCACUGCUGCUGACAUGGUAGAGAGAGGGUCGGAGAGUGAAGGGGGCGCUACAUCCGUCGAUCAGCGCAACGAGUUCCGAUGCAGGUCAUGGGUCCCGUGCGUGUGCAUGCAAGGAUGGUUGUGAGAGAGAUGACCGGUGGGUGGGAUUGGUGGUGGGCCAGGGAAAGAUUAAAAAAUUUAAUGCGAUGUACCAAGAAACAAGUUGUUGUAUACAUGCUUGUCUAAAUGUGUCAAUUCUUAGAGAUAAGUGCUUGUCUCUUUUAUUGGUCUUGCUCUUAUUUGCAUUGCGUGCUGUCAACCUACGUGUACGACCUUGCUAGCAAAUAGCAAUGCUUUGAAUAGUAUAUACUACUGUUAUACGAUCCCCAUAUGAACAAUGCGCGUGUGUCGACUGCAGGGAAUCCAACACUAAAGGAGAUGUUUGGUUCGUGAAGAUGUAACGUAAUCAAUUUACAGGCGUUAAGCGAUACCGUUACGUAUGUUUGUUUCAACCUCCUCUGUAAUUUAAUUACCCGUAAUCAGAUAUCGGCCCAAUUACAGUCCCAUUACGUCCCUCCCUACCCGGUAUCGCAUUGCGAUACCGCUCCCCGAUGCCGCCCCUUUCUUUUCCCAUUAUAUUGUCCCUCUCUUUUCCCCAGAUGCUGCUCCUCCGCCCGUGCGUUGCCCUUGCUACUCCUCCGCACGAGCAGCUUCGUUGGCGACCACACGCACCAUGGUGAGCCCUUGCUCCUUCCCCCUCUCACUCCCUCUCUUCCUCGUCCACAUACCCAGAGAAGUUUCUCUCAUAACCCUAACCCUAGCCUCGGUUCUUUUUCAAAGGCUGUAGAAAGAUCCGAGGGAAAGGAAGCACAGGGACGGGAGGAGGAGCUCAUCCGCCAUCCGUUUUACUGACAGGAAGAUCAACGUGCACCACAAAUACUCCUCCCUUGGUGAGUUUUGCCUAUCUUCCUCCUCAAGUAAGAUAUCCUCCUCUUUCUUCGAUGACUCUGAAUUCCCCUUAUUUGAUCUAGUUUUGUGUCGAUCGAUUUCUUGAAUCAAUGUAUUGUUGAUGAUGUGGUUGAUAACUCGAGAUGGAUCUAUGGAUUGUAUGUUCUUUACAAUUAAUUCUGAUUUUUUUGCUUCUGUUCAUGAAUACAGUGUGCAGUUAAUCACUUCUUGUCCUUGACUUGAAUCAGAUUCCUAAUUUUGCAUCACUGCUCCAAUUAUAGAUGUUAAUUUGCAAUCUAGUACAACUGAACUCGUAUACUUGUGUGUCAAGAUACUUCAUAAUAGAGGAAUAGAUCUUUGUUGGUAAAUUAGAUGUUAGGUUGUUCUUUUUUCUUUUUUCUCGUCGGAGCAGAUAUGACAAAAGCUGAGCUGGCGGUGGACGUCAAGUCAACGGAAGGUGCCGAGUCGAAAGAGGCAGCGGGAUUGAAAUCUGUCGGCAUGGUCCCGAAGCGAAGCUGGAUCGGGUUGGCGAGGUAGUCCUUCAUGCUCUCAUGGAAGACAACGUCGGGGCGGGAUGCCAUCGAGCCCACUAGGGAGGAUCCCACAAUCACCCCUACAUGGCGCGCCAACUGUCAGACUUAUAAGCCCGGCAGUCCACCAGGGGGUUACCCAAGUGGUUGAUUUGUAGGUGGAGGUGAUUGUGAAACCAAGAACUCGAAGGUGAUCGCGAGAAUACAAGGGACACAAGGGUUUUAAACAAGUUCGGACCUUCGGAGAGUAAUACCCUACGUCCUGUAUGCUUGGUGGCUUGUAUUGCUUGAGAAUUUCUAUGUCCUCGGGAGGCGCCCCCGGCCGCCUUAUAUAGGCUGACAACCUAGGGUUACAUGUCGGUUUGAAUCUAAUCUACUUGGUUGUUACAUGGAAGGCAAUUUGAGUCAGAUUACAAUACUACAAUAUUUGGGCUGAUUUGAAUCGCCCGGACGAGCCUACUUGUCAGAUCUGGCCAGUAUCCUGGUCGGUGGGGACCCAUAGGGUACCCAUAUCCCUCAUGAUUAAACUAAACAUGCUUGAUAUGGUCAGCUGAGAGCCACUGGUAGUACCAUAGUAUGCUUUGUUUUCGUAUUGUGAGUGAAAUCGGGAUAACGGUAGCUCCCCAUUGGUUAAUGUAAGGAUAGCUCAUGCAUCUUUGUUUGACCGAAUUAAAGCAAGUUACAUUCUCUCUCAGCACUCGGCACUUCAAUAAAAAUAGAUAACAUUGCAGACACAUGUUUCCUAUAGUAUUACUCGUAAUAGUUUCUCCUAGCCCUGGCUAAAUAGGCACGAGAUAUGAUUAGUGAUGUCAGCAAAACAGUUUGCCAUGGUGAGAUUCUGUUUAACUUAUUGAAGGUCAAUGGUGUUACUCGGUUCGGCACAAAGAUAAUCGCUAUUUUCCAAAAAAAACAAUCCUUAAGCCUAGACAAAUAUUCAGUGCAUGCUUUGCAUUCAAGAGCUGAUCCUACAGCAAUGUCAUUCACAAUUCUUUAGCUGAUGCUUCUCAGAGAAGUAGUAAAGAACUAUGAUAUCUGUUCCCAUGACCAGUUGCUUAGUGAUAUGUUUAGUGAUAUGUGUCACUUUGCUAUCUUGUUUCGGAUGUUUAUUUACUACCAUAAUUCAGAUGCUUGUUCUUUCACAAGAAUUCAGUCAAGAUUACAGUUAUAUCAUUCCAAUAUAUUCUAAUAUAUGUAGUUGUAUGUUUGCAAUUUAAGGAUGCUAAUCUUGGGCAGAAAUAUUCAAUCAACUAAUGAUAAUGGAAGUACAUCUUGUUGAACAUUGUUGAUGAAUCGAUAUACCAUUAUUUUCAGAAAAAAAUAACACCUCGUACCUUAACUUGUCACCAUUUUUGUAGAUGAGAGAAGAAGAUAGAAGGUGGAACUAGAUCGGUAAUCAAGCGACAACGAAUCUAAAGUUCAAAAGGGUGCUGAUUAUACUUGCUGUCUUCCGUUUGAAGUGUCUCAUUUUACCUAUGUCUCCUUGGUUAGCUGAUCAUGCUUGCUGUCUUCCGUUUGAAGUGUCUCAUUUUACCUGUCUCCUUGGUUAGCUUUCAGUCUAUGUUGAAUACCUUUUUACAUCAUGAGGCUGCAAAUUUGCAUUAGUUAAACCUCCUUGUAUUAUAUGCUACAGCAUAUAGAGAUAUGCUAGUUGCUAUGUCUGGUCUCAUGAAUAGUUGUUAAAUUUGAAAAUUAUCUUCCAAUACAUGAGUUGCAAACCAAAUAGUUGUAACGGUAUCUAAUACCAUUACAUUGUCCAAACAAACAAAUCCUGUAAACAGCGAUCCCACCUCAAAUGCUCCCGUGAUUCAUUUACAGUCGCGUUACGUUACCAGUGCGGCAACUAAACACCUGGCAAAACUUCUAUAAAAAAAACAACUUCUCCUCGACGAGGCCUACCGGCCUGCGGGGCGCUGGGUUUUUUCUACCCGGAAAUCCACACUUGUGUACGAAAGGCCCACUCCACUACUGUCCGGCCGACGAGCCCAUCAUUGACUUCGCGGGGCGCCGGGCUGCCGCGCGCUGCGUAGGUAGAGUAGCAGCAGUUGCCGCAAGACCACCAUCCCUAGCCUCCCACAUGUUGGGCUGGGCCGUCCGUGCGCUGCUCGGCCUCGCCACGUCCAGCAGCGCCGCCGAUCACUCCAUCACUGACUGCUGAGGUCGUCGUGCACUUUGCGUGCAAGCACUCGCAUCUCGGAGCCCAAGGCAGCACAGACCUCCAAAGCCGGAGUGCAAUCUACUCCAGCUAUCCCUUUUCCGCGUCGUAAGCUAGCCGCCGUAGCUUCCUACGAUCCGGACGAAGAAGCCACACACGGCUUCACGCCGCCUCCAUUCUAGCUGCAUUGUCUGGUGAUCUCUGGUCCAGAGCAGCAGCGCGUCGGCGAGCGAAAGGGAUCGUACCAUGGAGGCCGCCGACCUCCUCGACGGGAACGGGAAGAACAAGCCGCCGCCGCAGCCCAGGCGGCGGCGGUGGUACUGCAGCACGACGGCGGUCACGCUGCUCAUGUUCCUGCUCACCAACACCGUCUCCAUCGUCGUCUCCUCGGGCGCCGGCCCCUCCCUCCUCCGCCGCUACAAGCCCUCCACCAUCCGCCUCUGGGACGGCUCUGCCGCGCUCCUCGCCGACCUCAACGCCACGCAGGCCGACCUCGCCGCCAGCCGCGCCGAGCUCGCGGGACUCUACGCCCGCGUCGGCACCGCCAACGAGCUCCUCCGCACCCUGCUCGACGCCAUGGCCGCGCGGGACGCCGCGGACAUCGUCGCCAUCGCCGGCGGAUGGAAGCGAGAGCCCUCCGGCGAGCUGAAGCUGGCCGUCGGACCACAUAACACGUCCAUGACCGCCGGACACGGCCGGAACGCCACCGGCGAGGCGGCGACGGCGGUGUUCCCGGCUCUGGGCCACGGGUGCGUCCGCGUCCAGGACGACCUCGAGCGAUACAUGAACUACACUCCCGGUGGGGAGUGCCCGUCCGACGAGGCGCUGGCGCACCGGCUGAUGCGCAGCGGUUGCGAGCCCCUAACGCGGCGCCGGUGCCGCGCGCCGUCGCCCAAGGGGUACCGGCAACCGUCGCCGCUGCCGACGAGCCUCUGGGUCACGCCACCGGACACCAGCGUGCUCUGGGACGCGUACUACCCGUGCAAGAACUACUCGUGCCUGGCGAGCUCCCGCGGCGUCGACCUCCGCCGCGUCGGCCGGGAGAAGGCCCGGUGGGCGCGCGACGACGGCGCGCUGUCCUACUCCAUCGCCACCGUGCUCGCGACCCGCCCCAACGGCACGGUGCGCGUCGGCCUCGACCUCGCCGGCGGCAGGUCCUCCUACUCCCCCGGCACGUUCGCGGCGCGGAUGCUGGAUCACGGGGUCACCGUGGUGACCGCGGCCGUGAGCGCCGCCGCGCCGCUCAACAGCUUCGUCGCGUCGCGGGGGCUCGUCUCCGUGCACGUCACCGCCGCGCACCGGCUGCCCUUCUUCGACCGCACGCUCGACAUCGUGCACGCGGCGGCGGGUGGCCUCGGCGACGGCGGCGGAUCGAGGGUCCCCGCCGACGUGAUGCUGGAGUUCGCGCUGUUCGACGUGUACAGGGUGCUGAGGCCCGGGGGCCUGUUCUGGCUCGACCACUUCCCCUGCCCCGGGGCGCAGCUCAACGCGACGGUGGCGCCAAUGCUUGGUCGCGUCGGGUUCAAGAAGCUCCGGUGGAACACCGGCCGGGGGAAGGAGAAGGACCAGUGGUACGUCUCGGCGCUGUUGGAGAAGCCCAUGGCAUAAGAAAAUUGUGGGUUUUUUUCUCAUAGGAAACUAGUGGUUGUAAUAAUCCUGUAAUGUUCUUCUUGCUUGAUUCCUGCUUGUCUCUCUGGCAUUUUGCACGAUAUCAUAUUGUUCUGCUUUCACUUCACAUUUUUAAUUUUUUUUUUCAUUUUCUCUCCCAAUAGUUUGGUGAUCUUAUCAAGGAAGAUAGCAAUUUUUUAGAGCAUUUCUCCUUCUCCCAAAGGCUAUCGGCCCAAGGCCUUAAAGGAAAAUCGCAAACGGUUCAAGCCCAUUAAUAAUUUUCCCGUUGCUAGUUUGGCCCACAAACUAACUGAAGGAACGGCCCAUCAAAAGGCCCAAACAGCUCGGCGCACUCCGUUGUUCGUCUCCGCUCCGAUUCACGACCGCCGCAGCCUCCGCCGCCGCACGCCACCAUCAGACACCGCAGCCACCACCGGCGGCCGCACCAUUUGACACCCAGCUCGCGAAGGCGAACCAUAAGCCCUAGCCGUCCCCCUCCCGCCCGGAUGACCCCGAGCCGCGGCGGCGCGGAAUGGAGGUGCCCCGGAGAAGCUCGACGCCCUCGCGGGCUGGUUCGCGCAGUCCCUCUCCCUCGACGCCGCCACUCGCCGCGCCGCUGAGCAGAUCCUCUGCUCCGCGGAGUCCUCCCCGGGCUUAGCGCUCGCGCUCCUCGGCCUCGCCGCCUCCCUGCGGCACGACCUCCAGGCCCGUAUUUUUAUAAUGGGUGCUCGGAAGUGAUUGCUGUGGCUGAGCUGCAGCUGAGGCUGCGGCAGAAAGCCUGAAGCGACUACAGUGCUGCUGCAAGCCUGCAGCUGCUUGUAGCAGCAGCUACAGCUGCUAAGCUGCAUCCAAUUUUUUGACAUGGAGUAUCAGCUGAUCAACUGGCUGUGAAGCAACUGGUGCUUGAGCUACAGCCGAGCAGCUGGACUGUGCAGCUGCAGCUGCAGCUGCUGGUGAAACAGUCUCAUUUCCUCGCAAAGGAACACCCCACGGAUCUAAACUAAAAACCUCUCGCUGGACCCUCCUCUUGACCGGCAAGGUUGCAAAGCCUCAACUUUGAAGAACUGAUGUGCUGCUUGCAAAGAAGGGCUGCCCCCAUCAAAAAUUCCCUUUGUUGCUAGUAAGUAAAAUCCUUUUCUUUGGGCUUUCCUUACUUUUUUUAUAUGAUUUAUUCACCAAUCAGCGAAGCUCUUUUCAUUCCUUAUUGGAACUAUGCUAGCGUUGGUAAGAAUGUGCUGCACCGUUUCUUCCUCUUGAUCCAUUGAUAUAUUGUUGGGGAAAUUAGAAAACUGUCAAAACUCCUCUCAUGUCCCUUGUCUAGUAUCAUUGAUUCAUUGUAGCAUUUGUUAGAUGCCAAUUGAUUCUGAUCUCUCUCAAGUGAGGGUAGGGUCCCACGUGUCAUUGGGACAAUCAUAGUAUUUUCACAAAGCAUAGUUCCUUUUCCUCUUGAAAAUUUGGUCCUAACCUUUGAUUUUGCAUUUUGGCUCCUGCAUCCUACGUAGUUUCUUUUAAAAUAAAAUUUCAGGUGGGGAUGGUGAUUAAGAAGAGCAGCGAAACAGCUAGCCGAGCAACAACAUACAGGGGCAGAGAGGCACAUUGCUGAAGCACAGAACAUGUCAUGUAACACUUCAUUUCUUGCUUGUUUUAUUUUUUGCACAGAUCGCCGACAAUAGUUUGGCCCUUUUUCGACCCCAGCAACUAGCUAUGCUUCAUCAGAAUUCAGUACUCGUCUGAAACUCUGGUGAUCUUGGCCAAGCAGUUGUCCACCGGCCUGGGGUGGGGCAGGUACCUCACCCGGCAGCUGGGGUUCGUCCUCGUCAGCCUGCCAAAGCAAAGCCCAACAAAUCAUUUAAGAGAAACAUGCAUUAUUCAGAUAAGGUGUCAUAUGAACAAAGCCAAAAAAAAAACACCUGUAGUUUCUUCAUCUAAACGGUAAACCCUGAAUGAAAGAAGUUACCUGUAACCGAGGAGGAAAUGGUGGAGGAAGACGGAGAUCUCCAGCUUGGCGAGAUCGUUGCCGGGGCAGAGCCUUGCGCCGAGGCCGAAGGGGAGGAAUGUGCCGGCUCUCGGCGAGUGGCCCUGAAAGGAAACAAGAGUAUGAAGAUUGUUUGAGCUUCAUCAGGCCAUGAUCUGAUUGGUGAUGCUUCUAGGAUCGAUUUAUUCAGAAUGGCAACAGUGUCUCUGUUGCUGCUGGUACAGUACCUCCCAUCUUGAAGGGUUGAACUUCUUGGGGUCAGGGUACACUUGAGGGUCCAUGUGCACGCUCCGGUACCACAGCUGAACCUUCCAGCCCUUGGGGAUCAGGUACCCUGUUAGAAAAAUGCACACGGUGUUUCAGUGGAUUCCAGAUACAAAAAUGUGAGGCUAAUUCUGAAACUCACCGUUCACAAAGACAUCUUUGGUCGCCUGACGGAAGGACACGAACGAGAUGUUGACGAACCGCAGCGUCUCGUCGAUCACCUUCAGAUACAUAGGAGUUCAUCAGUACAGUAUAAUGUUGCUGGUUGGUUGCAUUGUACUGUCAAAGAAUGGAAUCUGGUGCGCUCAAAGUCACUGCUGCGUGAGCUGAAUAUAAUGCAUUUAAUUUGCUACAAAGAAAACGUUACCUGUGAGAGGUACCCCAUCUUCCUGAAGUCCCUCAGCGUCAGCCCCUGCUGCGUCGGUGGAAUGCUCCUCAUGAUCGCCUCCUGCUCUGCCUGGAAGAAAAGAAGCCGCAUCAACCAAACUGAUCUCCAAAUAAUGUCGUCUGAGCUGAAAAGAUUCAACCUUUUUCAGCACGAUUAUAAAUCCAGUACGGCAUACCUUGGCCUUUGCAAAGAUGUCGGGAUUCUCCUGCAGGAACACGGUGGCCCACAUGGUGAUGUGGCCGGAGGACUCGUGGCCGGCGUUGAGGUACAUGAUGAGGAUGUCGAUGAUCUCGUCGUCGUCCAGCCUCCGCCCGUGCUCGUCCUCCACCUCGAUCAGCCGGUCCAUCAUGUCCACGCUGCUGGACCGCGUGAACCCCUUGGCCGUCGCCGCCCGCCUCUCGUCCAGCACGCCCUGCAGCACGGAGACCAGCCUCCGGCGAGCCCCCAGCGCCCGCCGGUACGCGAACCCGGGCAGGUUGAUGGCCAUGGCGCGCAUCCCGUAGUUGAGGUCCGUGUAGCUCCGCUCCAGCGCGUGCAUGGUGGCGUCGUCGGCGCCGCCCAGGAAGAUCUGCACGAUGAUCUUGAACGUCAUCCGGCGGAGCUCCGUCAGGAACUCGACCUCACCGCCGUCGGCGCACUCGCCGGACCACGCGCGCAGGGACGACGUCACGGUGCGGUCGAUGAAGGGAAGGUACGCGGUGAGCGCGUCGAAGCCGUUGAUGGGCGCGGCGGUGAGCUUGCGCAGGCGGCGGUGCUCGUCGUAGGGCAUGGCCACGAACGACUUGGGCCCGAUGAGCGCCACCGUGGCCUUGGGCCACCCGGUGACGAAGCCGUCGUCGUCCAUGAGCACCUGCUUGCACGCCUCCGGCGUCGUCACCAGGAUCGUCGGGCUGCUGAACAUGAAAGCUCGGUACACGCCAGUGCGGCCAAACCUGCAUGCCAAAUUGCCAAAAAUCAGGAGUCAGGGCAACUGAUGAGCUCUCGUCAGAGUACUGAUCAAAGAUCAACACCAGACUCCAGAAUGAUCGAACUUGCGAACAUGCAUUCUGAAACAGGUCAUGUCCUAGAUGCAAACAUUUUGCACAGAAAAUCAUACUUGGAUGCUCACCAUUCAUUAGCAUUGCACAAAACAUGAGGUUAUGAGUGAAUUGCAAGAGCUAGCAGAGCCAGGAACUCGUUUUCUUUGUUACAGGAAUUUCUCAAAAAUUGGUUGAAUUCAAAUUUUUGUACUGGAAAUUUCAAUCCCUGGGGAAAAGGGGGGGGGGGGGGGGGGGGCGCACACACCCCCUGGUGAUUUGUAAAUCAGCAGGCAGAAUAUAUUAAGUCUUGUCGAGAUGCAUUCCACAUAAUGCCUUCAUUUCUGUAGUGUUUCAGCCUUUCAGGGCAAAAGACAACAUACAGAUUGCGGCAAAGCUCUGAAGAAGAAUAUUUGCAUUUUUAACACAGAUACUACCCAAAGAGAGCCGCAGCACAUAUUCGCGCAUGAAUUAAAUAGUGCUCAGCAAAUCACCAUCAGUUGAAACUCAACAGAUCACCUGAGUAUUCAUAUCAUUUAUGAAAUCACUUUGGACGGACCGACGCCCGUCGACGACAAUGAAGAAUCGACAGAGACAAAUUUGGAUGGCACCAAACCAAACACCUGUCUUACUAGCAAAGACGAUUCCUACACUACAGCAUAUGGAUCAAACAACAGAUUAAAACUUUUCUUUUACAGGGAAAAGGAUAGAUAGGAUAAGCAAAGCAGCUGCCUUUUUGACAGCAUAUGGAUGGGGAAUCAGGGACGCGAUGGGGUAGGUGCCAAGCAGGGCAUAUCAAUCACCCGGUGUUUUGUUAUCAGCAGAGCAGAGGGCAUUAGCAUUUAUCGACGAAGGUUUUGGCCAUUGCCAAAGAUGGAAUCUGCUCUGAAUGCAGGCAUGGGAGAGUGGUGGAGGUGUUGGAAAUGGAAAUCAAUCAGUCAGACAUCUCCUUUUGGGCAGUGGGGGCAGCGCCAGCAAGCAUUCCCUAGCUCCUCCUCCAUGCAUCUGAUCAGAUCAGAUCAGACGAGCCAUCACUGACUGACUGGAUGACUGUGCAUGUUUCUGAACUUACGGCAGCAGCCUGACAGAAUCGUUGAAAGUGAUUCACUGACUGCUGGAGGUGAUAUGCAGGCGUGCGUAGCAGUAGGAUAUCGUGGCGUCAUCAGGGCGCACAGAGAACUGAAGACAGAAACAGGUUGGAGAAAAUAAAAAGGAGAGAGAUGAUGAUCUUGAAGCCACACUUUGUGUGUACGUGUGCCUGUUUGAGGUCCAGGGGACAGGUUGAAGAGUCAUCCCUCCUGUUGUUUGUGCUUGCAGGUGAUGGAUGUCUUUUGGUGCAUACCUAAAAGCAUCCAUUUGAUUGCACUACUACAGUAGACUUGUAGAGAGAGGGAGAGAGACAGAUAUUGCAAGGACAAGAACAUUUCGUUCAUGCCCCAACACCAACAGGAAUUGAUGUACAAUGUUGUUCUUGGCGGCCAAACCAAACCGCAACAAUCUCGCAGUAAUUCGUCAGGAGUAGAGUGUGGAUAGCAACUCCUGUCUGAAGAGGAAUAGAGGAUGGCUUUGGCAUUGGCGAGAGAGAGAAAGAGAGGGAGGGAGGGAGAGGGCGGUUACUGGAAUGGAGGAAACUGACCGUCGGAUGAAGGAGGCGACGAAGGCGUCGGGCUUGCCGGACUUGAAGGCGCGGAGGAAGGCCCACAUGGCGCCGACGACGGGCCAGCCCAUCUCCCCCGGCGGCAGCCGCGCCCGCCUCGCCGCGCCCAGCGCCGCCUCCCUGUACCACCCGUGGAGCCUCCGCGCCCCGGCGUCGAGGAGGAAGAAGAGGAGCAACGCGCCGACGACGGCCGCCACCACCGGCGCCCACCACAUCGCCGGUGGGCUCGCCACGCCAUCGCCCACACCCACGGCCAUCUCCGGCACGGUUCCCGUGCGGCGCCGCUCGCGCAAGCAACGCAAACUCUGGGAGCGCACACCGUCGAGGCGGAAGCGACGAGAGAACUCACAAGGAUGGCGAAGAGGCCGGAGUGAAACCGUCGCUGGGUCCGCGUGCCGCUCGCUCUCUAUAAACCCAUGAACCGUAGUAGUAGGGGCUGUGCGGGCCCACAGGUACACGUCGGCGCACGGUGGACCAGGCACACGCAUGGCUUGUGUACACAAGCUCUCGCUCGGAGCACAACAAUAUCUUAUCAUUAAAUCCUCAAAAAUAAGAGAAAAUAUUAGACUUUUUCUUAGAAGAAAAGGUUACAUUUUGUUAGAGAAGUUAAAUUCUGUUGAGCAAUGUGAUCCAAAUCUAGAGUACAAAUACAGCUCUUGGUACAUUGUUCUUGGAGUUUCAUGAGGUGCAUACACCGUGCUGUUUAAUUUUUAUCACAAAAAAUGUUUGUACUUUGUAUUGGCCGGCCGGAUUGCUUGUAGUGUAAUGAGGCCGGUUUUGGUUUCUUCUCUCAACAAAUAGGGCUGCAUUACACGCCAGGUGUUGCCAAACACACGCACGCGCGUGCUUCCUUGUUGGUUUUCUAGUCGUCAUGCUUUAAAAUUUCUCACACGCGGCGGUGCCUUCUGGCACGUGUGCAGUGUGCCACCGUCGUGCAUGGACAAAUGUUGGCAGGCAGUUACUCAAAAACUUUGUAGGGAGAUAAGAGGGGCUCUUCAGUGAAGCAGCAAAGAACCUUUCGGGAGUGAUCAUCUUCAAGCAUGUAAAGAGAGAUCAAAACCCGGUAGCACACGUGUACAUGUAGCUCAUAACAGAAGCAUAAGUUGGUAGACUAGUCUUACUAUUUUAUUACUAAUUAUAAAUCCAUUUUGGAACCUCCAUGCUAAUCCUCGAUGUGCAAGGAAAAAAACAGAAAAUCUCCAAAAUUCUUAAAAAAAAGUAAAAUAUCUGACCACCGAGACUCCUUCAUAGUUGAUAAUAAUCCAUUAGAUAUACUUUCCUCAAAAUCACUCAGCUUUACCUAAUGGAUAGUAACUAAAGUAACACAUGUAUAUAAAUUAUCAAUAAUAACACAACUUAAAUCUACAUUUAAAUGACCUUAUCUAUCAUUAUUAAAAAUAAGCUAAAGUAAUCUCGCAAAUAUGCAUCUAAAUUAGUCGUAAGAAAUUGUAAACACCGCAUGCUUUUAAGUUAUACACUCUUGUAAUUAUUAAUAUGCAAAAGACCGACUCAAACAUGCAUGAUUGUGUCACCACGAACCACAUAAUUAAAAAUACAUAUUUAAUUAUAUAGUAUAUGCGUGGUUGAAAUUAAAUUGGGAAGCCAAAUAUAGCUCAUGGUAAGGUUUCAACAAAACACAUAUCCAAAACACACAUGGCUACACUUAGGUGUGGCAAAAAGUGAAAAAUCUUACUAUUACUAAUUGGAGGCUCCUUUUAAAGCCUCCAGGUGAAGCCACCUAGAAUUCCUAGGUGGACACUCUAGAAAAAGAGAGAAAUCCUAGAAAUUCUCACAAAAAAGCAAAACAUCUGAUCAUUAAUCGAUAGAUUCAAAUCAUCAUAGCCAUUAAAUCUAUUAUGUUUUCUAAAAAAUUACCCACCUAUGCCAUUAUGAAAAUAGCCUAAAGCAACCCCCCUAAAUCUAUAUAUAAAUUACCCACCUCUGCUAUUAUAUAAAAUAAACUAAAGUAACCCCCUAAUCUUCAUCAAAAUUACCCACUUACGCCAUUAUAAACAAUAUUUAAAAUAACCCCCUAAUUUGCAACCAAAUUGCCCACCGCUAUUACUUAAAAAUUUAAAGUAACCUGUUAAAUUUGCAUCUAUAUUACCCACACAUGCCAUUAUUAAAAAUAACAUGAUAACCCUACAUUUGAAUCAAAUAACCUUAAUUAAAAUAUACAGCAAUAUAUGAUUCUAAAUCGUCUAUAUCUUGCACUAUUGGUAUAUGAUAUUAUAAUUAAGUUCUAUACACAUGAUGUGUUACCAUUUAUAAAGAUAUAGAGGAAGUGAUGAGAAUAUAGAUUUUUAUAUUAAAAUUGUAUCACAAACUUAGGGUUCAUUAAACAAAUUCAAGGUAUGAAAUUCAAGCACAUACCUGUGAUGCAAAGUGAAAAGUUAAAGAUUAUAAAUGUGAAUGAAAAUAUUAUAGAGUAAUUACUAACUAAAAUCUAUCACAAUUGGAUGAAGAUAAUAAGUAUAUAUCUAUUAUGUUUGAAUAUUUAACAAACGAGAGGUAGCUUAUGGUAAUAAUUUUUUAGCAAUGUAGUCCUAUUUUUUUUCCAUUGGAGACUCCGCAUUAGUUCCAUGAGACAAGCUAGAAAAAAAAGAGACAAAUUCUCAUAAAAAUCAAAAAUAUCAAACACCAAUCAUGUAAACUCUAAUAAUCAUAGCCAUUGAUCUAUUAUAUUUUCUAAAAAGUUACCCACCACUAUCAUUGUGAAAAUAUUCAAAAAUGAGCUCUAAACCUAUAUCUAAAUUACCGAGCUCAGCUAUUAUAAAAAAUAAUCUAAAUUAAUCCCAUAAUCUUCAUCCAAUUUACUAAUACAUAAUAAAGCAUAACUUAAAAUAUCAUUCUAAAAUUUUAUCUAUAUUACCCAUGUAAGUUGUUAUUAAAAAUAACCUAAAUUAAACAUCUAAAUCUUAAUAUAAUUAUCUUCACGUGCAUCAUACAUAAAUGUCAAAAAUAAACUAAUAUAUGAUUCUAAAUUACCUAUUUAUAUCAUUAUUAAUAUAAAAAUACUAAGUUCAAGUAUAUACACAUGAUGAGUGUCACCAUUUAGACCAUUUAUACAUGUACGUGAGGAAUCGAUGAAAAAUAUUGAUUUGUAUGCUAAACAUAAUGUAUGGAGGAUUGGAGGUGCGAUACAAAAUGGAAAAAGUAUGAAUAUGGAUGAAAAAGUGCAUAGAGUAAUUAUUAAUUAAAAAUCAAUCACAAUUGGACAAAGGUAGGUACAUAUCUAUAUAAGUAUUAUGUUGAUGUAUUGAAAAAAAAUAAGAGAGUAGUAGGCAAUAAAUUUUGAUUAUUAUCUAGGAGUUUAAUUUCUAAAUAAUUUUCAAAUACAAUAGCUUCUAAAAAUAUUAGCCCGUGCGGGAGCACGGUUGAUGGACUAGUACUAUUAACGAGAAUUAAAGUCUAUCACAAAAGUAAAGACGAGCAUUGUGAUAGAAAAUAAAUAAAUGAGGUAGAGUGAAAAAUAAGUAAAUUUGAUUAAUUGUGGGAUCAAAAUUUAUGAAAAGGAUUACAGUACUUUUGGACGUAUGGAACCGAGAUCGAUCGGUUCUAAGGAAGGAAUCGUAAAAAAAACAAAUAAGAACCCAGCUAGGUUUUAUUUUUUUGAGCGAAGUCAGGGAAGUCCUACCUAUUUUUUAUAAUUUUUUUAUUUCAAACUCGUUUAAUUCGUUCUCACGGGGAGUCAAAUCUGGACCUGCUAGAUGCUACUCAAGUGCUCAACCACUGGACCAGAGAUUUUAUACAUUUGGUGAAUGUCACCAAGAAAAUAACCAUGUAGAAAAUGCUUUGCUAAAUUGACUAGCUUGGCGACGAGGACAGGGGAGGAAUCGUAGUACGAAGAUACAGGUGAUGAUGGAUCCGUGGUGAAAAAGUAGCUUGUUGGUUUUCGACCUUUUGAGAAACAUCAAGGUACAUAUAUUGUAUCGAUCAGUGAGUAGCUAGCUAGGAAUGACACGGGCGGAUCGAUGAGAUAACUUUUAGGGUACAACAGUGAUGCGAUGCGACGACGAUCGUAUCGAGCUCGGGGUACAUGACCAUAGCCUCGAUAUGGUACGUGUGUGUCGCCACACACAUGUACACUUCGUGAUCAUAUUCAUACGUGUUCAAGUAACGAGAGUGACAUGCCUUUAUCUUACACGUCGGUGGCGGCCACUGAUGAUAAAGUCUGUGAGCAGCGGUACGUGCAUCAUGUGCAUGGCUUCAGCUGGGAUUCGAUGAAAUGUACUUGAUUUAGGAUAAAACAUUUCCUUUUUCUCUGAAAGGUAGAGCAUAUAUAUAAAAGAAUAAAAGAUUUAGAAUUAGGAGCGUACGUUAGUUUUUUCUAGAUUUUUACUAUUCUUCUCAAAACCACUUUUUGAUUACUAGCUAGCUAGUAUCUUGUACGAAUUUGUAGUGUUUAUGGAUUUUGCAAUUGUAAAUUUUUCAUAUGUUGCCACUGAAUGCUACCGCAAUGUUCUUCUAAUGUCCAGCUAGCCUAUAAAUUAAAUAAUCCUGGGUUUGCCACAGCUCGUCUUCACAUAAGUAGAUUAUGCUAGCAGAAUGGCAGACGAGCAUUUGCAUUCAGCCACGUACUUGCCGCUGAAAAGUCUGGUUCUUUAGACUUGAUUGAAAUGAAAUGGCUGCAAAAGGGGGAAAAAAGGUCCUGCAGCGUGUCGACUGAGUUUAUUCAGUCACAUCUUGCAGUGCAGAUGCCGUGCAUGCAGCCACCCUAAGCAUUUUUAAUCUUUGGCGCUAGUACGGUGGGAAUCUGAUCACCGCUUGCUUGCAUUUGUCUCUCCGUUUCUAAACCGUACGGCAGAUUUUAAGCUAAAAGUAUGUAUGGUAACAAUGAAUUUAAUUAGAUUCGUUGUAGUUUACUUUACUAGACGUUAAUCUCUUUUUUAUUAGAUGUUAAUCUCUUUUUUAUUAGAUGUUAAUCUCUUCUCUAUAAAUUUGGUUACCGAACAAUUUUAACUUAGCAGGAUAUACAUUGAAAAUCAUUUAUAUUCCAAGACAAAUGUAGUACAUCAUUAUGGCCGUCGUCCAUGCCUCUGCGAUGUGCAUGAAUGUGCCCCAGCACAAAGGGAUCCAUGAUGCUGAGAGGCUGAUCGAGAACAAGCUUUAUUAAGAGUUUGUAGAAAUAAAGAUGUGAAUGAUGGCGACUGUGAACCGGGUCAGAAGAUGUAUCUUUCGAGAGAUAUGGGAGAGGCUAAGCUAGCUUCUCUCCACUCCUUUGGGUGUGCUUGCAUUGGGGCCGGAUUGCCAUGCCUCGACCCCUACCCUGUCCCCCUCCAUCUCAUCCCAGCCCAAAUGGGGAGUGGCACCAUCCUCGAAUGUGACAGGAAGCAUCCAUCACAACCCUACCAGCAAACUGACCACCGACUCGUUGACAACCAAAACAAAUAGCACUAGCACAAUGCUAGCAUCUCCUUACAUUCAUGAGUCAUGACAUUGCAUUCUGGGCUUGUGGCUGUAUUUAACCAAGGAUAAAUCCAAACAUGUCUUCAAUUCUUGGAAUUAAUGUCCUAGGAAAGAAUACCCAUUAUUUGCAAGAAACAAAUUUUAAAGGGAGAAGAAUCCAACAAUUUUAGAGAGUGCUAGUGGCCUAGGGACCGAGCAGCAGCAUGCUGCUUUUUGGAUAGAAUAACAGGCAGCAGCAGCCACGCAUGCCGGCAUGGGGCCUGAUCAACUGAUAAUGCCCUAUUGAUCAAGAAAGAAUAAGCUAGCUGCAAGCUGAUGGACUCUCGAUCCCUAAGGGUUUGUUUGGUUGCAUGCACCAUAUACCAUAUGAUGUAUGUAUGAAUGAUAUUGAAUGGUGAGGUUCAACUAAUGUGCUUGUACCAUAUGGCUCACUCUUAUUAGUAGAAUAAUGUAUUAGGUGGGAUGACUUCAUCCUAGAUGGGAUGGUAUAAUUAAAAAAAAGAAUCAUUAUUAUUUUGCACCAUUCCAUACAUAAACCAUACAGCCAAACAAACAUACUUAGUGUCGCAGUAGGUCCAUGGCCCCGAUGGCUAUAGGGACGGCUCGAGCAAGAGUCGUGAUCAGCCCAAGACAAAAUCGCGCAGCAAAUCUCUAGCCAAGGCCACACGCUUCACACUGCCUUUUUCUGGUAACGUCGUCAUUAGGCAUUAGCUUUUGUUGCUGCGCACCCCGAUCCCAUCGAGAGGCUGGUUCUGUGUGCACGUUCCUAGCUCCUAGGCAACAAAAGAAGCUUAGUGUGAUGCAAGGGGACGACGGAGAGGAUGAUAGCUUCGCUGCUGGACCCCACCACCGCCACGGCGGUUGAGCCGUCACGAGCUCACGACGUACGACGCCGCCUGGUGCUGACUUCCAGUUGCUCGGAAAUUCUCAGCUCUGGGCCGCCGCCGACCGCCGUCGUGGUUGGCCGGCCGGCAGGAAGAAAGCAGACCGGCCGGCAGAGCUAUCACCAACACCUUGGCACCUUGUCGAAAUGGGAGGUCGUACCAAAGGCAAUGGCGAUGGAGAAGGGAGAUGUUACCUGUCUCUAAAAGUGAGUUCGGCUCAUUUAGCGCUCUGCUCAUUAGUUUCUAUCUAGGGGCCGGCAGAUGGUAUCUCUCUCUCCCCCUCUCUAGAAAAAGAAAGUCUCUAGGAAAAGAAAAGUGGAGAAGAUACGCUACAAAAAGAUAAAAUCCUAGAAGUAAACUCUAGGUGUAAACAUCAACCGCCAUUCUAGGUGUAAACAUCAACCGCCAUUGUGGAUAUAAGGACCCUAUUUAUUUGAGAUUAUAAUCCAUUAGAUUAUUAGAUUAUGUGUAAAGGGUAGUAUAAUAAAAGAUCAUAUUGGGACCACAUUGGGAUUGCAAAUAAUCUGAAAUAAGCUAGUGGUCUGGCUUAUAUACUCCCUCCGUCCCACAAAGACUGUUCGUUUAGAAAAUUUUAGACAAGAUAGUAGCAAUGUUAAAAGUCCAAAGUACCCCUAAUAACUCUUCUUAAUCGGAUGGAUUAACGAGUAGAAUUAAUUAUACAUAUACGCUUGCAAUAAUUGUCGGACCUAUUAGCCUUCCUUGUUUAGCGAGUUUGGCUCGAGCAUCGAUAGUGGGAGUAAAUGAUCGAUUCGUUUAUUGAACCAGAAGGUAUUAUGAGGACCUUUGUUGGAUGGUCUGAAAGUUAUAUAAACACUCUUUGUGGAACAAGUUUUGGAAGCUAAACGAACAGUGUCUUUCGGGAUGGAGGGAGUAAUCUAGAAGGCAAACAAAUAGGCCCUUUCUAAAUUAACCACCUUUAUUUUCCGUUAUAAAAAUAUAACCCUCGAAAUAUGGAUCUAGAAUGCCUAUCUCUCUACCGCUAAUGAAUGGUAAUCUCAAGCAACCCCCAACACUUUGCCAUUGUGAAAGUCUCAAACGCAUCCGUCUCCAAAGCUAACUUCAGAUUCACCCAGAUUCAGACUGAUUCAGCAUGAAGAGCCCCUUGACAGUACUGCAACUUCCCGGCUACUGCUAUCAUCACAUCACCCUGCGAAUCUCUGAUGGCAUGGCCCAAAGCUCCCUCACCAGUCACCGCUACUCUUCUUGUGAAAAGCUCCAUCAGUAUUGGUUUUCAGGACAUCUACCGGUGGGCGCCUCCAACAAUAUCCUUUUGUCUCUGCGAUCUGACAGACAUUUGUUGGCCUUCUCCUAUUUUUCAGAAAUUCGUCAGUGUACUUCCACCAUGCAUUGCCACAUACUACUGCUGUAUGCAGGAGAAGGAGCAGAGGAUUGGUGGCGACUCCAAUCCCUUUCCUUCUAGAUCAAUUUCCUCCCAGAUCUUCAGUACCCAUUUACGUCUUGUUUGGAUCCGUCCAACUAGCUAAACUUCAGAAACUUUUUAAAAUUUAGCUAGGGGUAUUUGGAUCUACCAACUAAAUGAUAGUUAAAGAGCUAUUUGUCUAUUCUAGCCCCUCCCAAUUUAGAAACUUUUCCCAAGGAAGGUGGGGUAAUUUGGUUUUAACAGUUUAGCUAAGUUUAACCGGCUAAACUUUAGCUGAGUCCUGUUUAGAUCCAUAGCAGCUAAAUGUAGCCAGCUAAAAUUUAGCUGGUGGAUCCAAAUAGAGCCUUACACUUGAAAAAAAUGACAUUGUUAUUUAACGCAUGUUUUAUUUUUAAAAAAAUUACCGUGCGUUGCUACGGGCAGUAAAAUAUUUCAGUGCAAUAUGAAGAGCAUAGGAAAUAUGGUGUUGAUCUACUUAACGUGUUGUUUAAGGCUCAUUGAAAUCCACAAGCAUCAACAUUGGCGUAAUAGUGAUAAACCAAGCAUAAACAUAGUAUACAAAAAUAGUUAAUUCAAGUAAAAUUAUAAUCCAACACCAUGUCUCAGUUCAAGUUUAACACAACACUUGAAACUGAAUAUACAUUUGCUCUUUGCCUUAUGUCCAACUAUAGUAACGAUUCAAGCUCACUGAACCAAACGGCCUGAACAGACCCUAGAUAAACAACCAGUCCUGAAAAUACCAGGACAGUACCUUCCCCAAAGCCCAGUCAGCAGAAUCAAAGUAAGCUCUUUCAUGGUCCUCAUAUGAAACUUUAAACAUAGGUAAGAGGACAUGGACAUUAGAGACAAAAAUAAAUUAACUUCUCUUGUUAUGGUGAAUGCAUACCAUCUCUUUCAUUGUGAUCAAAAGCUUCUACUUUCUCAUCAGAUGUAACAGAAAUCUGACAUAAAUCUACUUUCUCAGGACAAAUACGGAAUUCAGACAUAAAUCUUGAUAUGAUGAACAAUAUCAGUGUAUAGGAUACAUACAGAUCACUACAUCCAAAUAAUAGACUAUUUAUGACUUAGAUAGGACCAAAGUUAUAAUUCUGAUAUGAAUAGCUUAAACUCCUCACUAAAUAUUUGACUACUCUUCCACCUGGAGCUUAACAGUAAAGACCGCGGUAAUAGUGAAAAUGGUGCAAAGUAUGAGGCUUAUGAAAUAUGGUGCUCCUUCCAACCUACAUGAGUCAUUCUAAUUCUAAAUUCACCCCAUAGUUAAAGUUGAGUGACAUAUAUUACCCAAAACAUGCAUACCAACGGACCUGCUUUGCUCCAAAAAAAAGAAGGAAAAACAGAUGUCAAAGAAAAGGAAAAAAAGAAAAAAAA
rnacentral:lncRNA from 1 species